GACUACCGGGGUAUCUAAUCCCGUUUGCUACCCACGCUUUCGUGCCUCAGCGUCAGAAUCGGCCCAGUCGCCUGUCUUCACCAUUGGCGUUCCUCUAGAUAUCUACGCAUUUCACCGCUCCACCUAGAGUUCCAGCGACCUCUACCGACCUCAAGCCCCGCAGUCUACCGAGCAAUUCCAUGGUUGAGCCAUGGGAUUUCACAAGGCACUUGCGAGACAGCCUACGCACCCUUUAAGCCCAGUGAUUCCGAUUAACGCUUGAGACCUCUGUAUUACCGCGGCUGCUGGCACAGAGUUAGCCGUCUCUUCCUCUGGGUAUGCUCAUUCUUUUGCUAAACCCUGACAGGAGUUUACACCCCGAGGGGCUUCAUCCUCCACGCGGCAUCGCUCCGUCACGCUUUCGCGCAUUGCGGAAUAUUCCUUACUGCAGCCCCCCGUAGG
rnacentral:rRNA from 1 species